UACGGGGGGGGCAAGCGUUGUUCGGAAUUACUGGGCGUAAAGGGCGCGUAGGCGGUUGGAUAAGUCAGCUGUGAAAACCACGGGCUUAACUCGUGGCCUGCAGUUGAGACUGUCUGGCUUGAGUGUGGGAGAGGAGAGUGGAAUUCCUGGUGUAGCGGUGAAAUGCGUAGAGAUCGGGAGGAACACCAGAGGCGAAGGCGGCGACCUGGACAGUCACUGACACUCAACUGCGAAAGCGUGGGGAGCAAACAGG
rnacentral:rRNA from 1 species